UAUAGCUCAGUGGUAGAGCGCAUGCUUAACAUGCACAAGGUCCUGGGUUCAAUCCCUAGUA
rnacentral:tRNA from 1 species